UUUUCUAUCUCUUUCUCUCUCUUUGUCUCUGUCUCUCUCUCUGGUAAAGCCUGCAGAUCCCAUACACAUCAACAUGAGGGAGACUAACCCAUCACCCACAGGGAAGAGCAGACAGGAUGUAAACACGCUGUCAAAUGAGGAACAGCUUGGAGUUACCCCUGACCUUGUGACCAAUUGAUAAAAAACUCCUGACCACCAGAAGAUAUUCCAUUUAUAUCCCUGACGUAACUAUAGCCUCCCAUGACAUAUGACAAAUAUUAUAAUGUUGUGUAAUAAUAUAAGUAGUAAUGUAUAGUAAAGGCAGGGUAGGUAAUGUUGUUGUUGAGAAGCACUUUUGACAUUUGUUUAAAUAAACUUCACAUCCUGAUUAUGAAA